AGGGAUCAUUGCUGGAACGCGCCCUAGGCGCACCCAGAAACCCUUUGUGAACUUAUACCUUACUGUUGCCUCGGCGCAUGCUGGCCCCCUCGGGGCCCCCUGGAGACAGGGAGCAGGCACGCCGGCGGCCAAGUUAACUCUUGUUUUUACACUGAAACUCUGAGAAAAACACAAAUGAAUCAAAACUUUCAACAACGGAUCUCUUGGUUCUGGCAUCGAUGAAGAACGCAGCGAAAUGCGAUAAGUAAUGUGAAUUGCAGAAUUCAGUGAAUCAUCGAAUCUUUGAACGCACAUUGCGCCCUCUGGUAUUCCGGAGGGCAUGCCUGUUCGAGCGUCAUUUCAACCCUCAAGCAUUGCUUGGUGUUGGGGCACUGCCUGUAAAAGGGCAGGCCCUGAAAUCUAGUGGCGAGCUCGCCAGGACCCCGAGCGUAGUAGUUAAACCCUCGCUCUGGAAGGCCCUGGCGGUGCCCUGCCGUUAAACCCCCAACUUUUGAAAAUUUGACCUCGGAU
rnacentral:rRNA from 1 species